rnacentral:rRNA from 3 species
CCGUAACUAUAACGGUCCUAAGGUAGCGAAAUUCCUUGUCGGGUAAGUUCCGACCCGCACGAAAGGUGUAACGAUUUGGGCACUGUCUCAACGAGGGACCCGGUGAAAUUGAAAUACCUGUGAAGAUGCAGGUUACCCGCGACUGGACAGAAAGACCCCAUGGAGCUUUACUGUAACCUGACAUUGGGUUUUGAUACAUUACGUACAGGAUAGGUGGGAGGCAUGGAAAGCUGGACGCUAGUCUGGCUGGAGCCGACGUUGGGAUACCACCCUUGAUGUAUUGAAAUUCUAACCGCGAGAGUAACGAAAUCCGGGACAGUGUCAGGCGGGCAGUUUGACUGGGGCGGUCGCCUCCGAAAGAGUAACGGAGGCGCCCAAAGGUUCCCUCAGCGCGGCCGGAAAUCGCGCGAAGAGUGUAAAGGCAGAAGGGAGCUUGACUGCGAGUCAAACACGACGAGCAGGUACGAAAGUAGGGCUUAGUGAUCCGGUGGUACCGAGUGGAAGGGCCAUCGCUCAACGGAUAAAAGCUACCCUGGGGAUAACAGGCUAAUCUCUCCCAAGAGUCCAUAUCGACGGGGAGGUUUGGCACCUCGAUGUCGGCUCAUCACAUCCUGGGGCUGAAGUCGGUCCCAAGGGUUGGGCUGUUCGCCCAUUAAAGUGGUACGUGAGCUGGGUUCAGAACGUCGUGAGACAGUUCGGUCCCUAUCCAUCGCGGGCGCAAGAGAUUUGAAGGGGGCUGCUCCUAGUACGAGAGGACCGGAGUGGACGAACCGCUGGUGUACCAAUUAUCCCGCCAGGGGUACAGUUGGGUAGCUACGUUCGGAAAGGAUAAACGCUGAAAGCAUCUAAGCGUGAAACCAGCCUUAAGAUGAGAUCUCUCAUAGAGCAAUCUAGUAAGACACCUUAAAGAAGAUGAGGUUGAUAGGUCGGGAGUGUAAGUACAGCAAUGUAUUGAGCGGACCGAUACUAAUAUGUCGAGGGCUUGACUUA